rnacentral:rRNA from 1 species
UACGUAGGGUGCAAGCGUUAAUCGGAAUUACUGGGCGUAAAGCGUGCGCAGGCGGUUGUGCAAGACAGAUGUGAAAUCCCCGGGCUCAACCUGGGAAUUGCAUUUGUGACUGCAAGGCUAGAAUCUGGCAGAGGGGGGUAGAAUUCCACGUGUAGCAGUGAAAUGCGUAGAGAUGUGGAGGAACACCGAUGGCGCAAGGCAGCCCCCUGGGUCAACACCUGACGCUCAUGCACGAAAGCGUGGGGAGCAAACAGG